CUAAGAUUUACAAGAUUGGUGUGAUUCUAAUCAGCAGCAUACUGCUCAAGCACUGUUUAUGAGAACAUGUUGAUAUGGAAAAUAGGGCUGAAAAUAUUGUAAAAACACAUUCAGUCUGGUAUGGAAACAACUUCCAAGAAGUUAUUUUUGAACAAUUUCCACUUCUUGUCUUGUCCUUAAACAGGAAACAGUAAGAAUCAUAACAAUAACUAUGUUUAGGUUCUUAAGCUUUACAAAAUCUUGCAAGCAAGUUAAAGUCACUGGCACAAGUACUGGGAAAUUCUUAUUAAAUUCAGAUACAUUUUACCAUACUCAUUUUUUGCUUUCCUGACAAAGAACAACUGUAACUCCAAAGGUAUUUUCAUCAAAAAUACUUUUUAGAAAUCAAAGAUUACGUUCCUGUCUGUGACAAUGCUUUGACAGCAAAGGACUUCUAUCAGCUUUCCUCAGUUGGAGAAACUGGCUGAGAGCUCCUUGUUUAAUGAUUUCUUUAACAUUACUGAUGACAGGUUGUCCUUGUGAACCAUGCCAGGAACUUCUUAUCCUGUCUCUCUCCUCCCCUGCAGCAAUACUUAUGGUAAAUACCCUGGGAGAUGGAAGAUCUGAUGACGAGGAUGACAGCACUGAAGAUUUUUUCCAGAAAGCCUCAGUUUCUUAGCUGUUUGAUACAUCUUACUAGAAGAAAGGUAGACACUGGAACCAUGAAAGACUUGAAGGAAUACAGUGACAUGAGAAACAACCAGGUUUUCCAGUCCUUACUAAUGGUUCCCCUAGAAGAGGACAGACCACAUCCAAUCCAUCAAUAUAAGGAAACUUUCAGGUGCAACAUCGGAUUGAUGGUACUAGUGCCCUGUGGAUGUGCAUCAAUAUCGUACAGUGAAGAAAAGAUCAGUUACACAAUUCCUACAACUGUCAGUCACCACUGAGGCUGAAAAUGGGUAGUGUACAACAGAAGGGACUGCACAAGUAGUUUCUUCUUCAAGAUAAACAUUGGCCUGGCGAACUGGGCUCUUCCAAUAAGUUUCUACUGUGUAAUUUUUCAAAAGUUAAUCAAAUCACUCACCACCUGAGAACUGUUUUCAUCUUGUUUUAAAGAAUAUACUGUGAUUUAGAAAAGUGCUGAGCUCUUUCAGCUGUAACCAAUGAUAAGAGGAGCUAUGCUUGAGCAUGUUAUGCAACGUAAU
rnacentral:lncRNA from 1 species